CACACCGCCCGUCAAGCGAUGGAAGCCGGGAGCACCCGAAGUCGACACACCAACCCGCAAGGGAGGGAGUCGCCGAAGGUGAGACUGGUGACUGGCGCU
rnacentral:rRNA from 1 species